UCUUCAUCAAUGAUGUAGACACUGGUGUCAGAAGCAGGCUCGCCAAGUUUGCUGACAACACCAAACUUGGGUAAAGCAUCCACACGGGAGGACAGGAGGGUGAAACAGGAAGAUUUUGACAGCCUCAUGAAGUGAGCGGACGAGAACCUGAUAGUGUAUAACACCAAAAAUGCAAGGUUCUCCACCUUGGGGGGAAAAACCUGCGGCAUGUUAAUAGGCUUGGCAGUGCUUCGCUGGUUAGCACUACAGAUGAAAGGGGCUUGGGGGUCAUGAUUGACCACAAGAUGAACAUGAGCCUUCAAUGUGAUGCUGGGGUUCAGGAUGGAAUAGGAUCCCCCUGAGACAUCUAACCACCAUGGCAAUGUCUGGUAGUACAUUGGGUGGAGGCCCUGGCCCAGUGUCCCUGCCCAACUACGCUUCAACAAGGCCUGGCUGCGCCGGCUUUGUGAUGCGUGUCCUCUUUGCCAUCACAUUGCCGUGACGAUGGUGCUGGGGCAGAGAUACAAGCAGAGCAAAGGAUUUUUCCUGCUCACUCUGUGCUUGACACGGAUGAUAGUAGUGGAGUUAGUCGAUUGUCGCAUUGCUUUGUAGUUGUCUUUUGUUCAUUAUCUGUAUUCUUCAUAAUUAGUAUUGGUAGAGGAGUAUUAGCAGGUUUAGCAACUAGUCGUACUAAUCUUUAAAAUUAGUUUAGUGAGUAGGUAGGUAGUUAGGACUUAGUUAUUACCUUUAGUUACCCAUCAUGAUAAUCACCCCCUUAGUCCCUAAGCGUCCUGGCCACAGGGGCAUGGAGGAGAGGAGCAGUUCGCAGACUGUGCAGGUAAGCGACUUGCUGGGCGUUUUCUCACAUCUGCUCCUCCUGGUUGCCAAAUCUUGCAAUCUGGAGCUCUCUUUCUCUCCAUUGCUGGAGUGUUUUCCUAACGCAACACAAGGCCUCCAGUUCCCCCACAACCUCCUCCCCGGGCCGUCCUAGCGCCUGGACACUGAAUGGGCAGAGCUCUCCCUCGGGGAGCAGUGAUGCUGCUUGUUCUUGCCUGCUGCUCGGUGAAGCAGGACAUGGGGACAUGAGUGCUGGGUCCUGGGGCAGCGCUGAGCUCGACGAGCCCCUGCAGCUUCCCCACAUGCGGCUGGGGAGUUGUUUCUGGGCUGGGGAGAGGCUGGGCCCCAGGUUGGUUUCUGCUAAGUAUCUGCUGUCUUUCUUCAGCUGCCUCUGCUUGAAGAAAAGCAAGCAAGCGAGAAUUCCCAGCCACCGCCUGACACCUCCAAGGGCAGGAUGAGAGCCCGCAUGUUUUGGGACCCCAUGGAGGAGGAGAUGCUCCGGUGCCAGGAGCCCUGGGACAAGAACUGAACCAUCAGUGACCUGGGCCACUACCAGAGGCUCCGCCAGAGCACACAAGUGGCCCUGAGGGCAGGGAAAAGGCUUGAGAAGAAGCUGAAGAGGGAGGAACGGCUGCUGCCUCUUCUCGAGCCGAAUCCUGCAGUGCUGGGACAGAUGCAGGAAGUGAGGAGACAGCUCUUCCAGCUGGACAGACAGCAGCGGCAGCAGAAUAUCAAACUGCAGCAAACGGAGCUUAUUAUAAAUAAAAAAGAGCAGUGCGAGAAGAAAUGUCACCGGGAUGAGGGGCAGCUGCGAGUCAGGUCGGUGUGGCCGUGGGGAGGAGGGUGACACAAAUUCCCCAGAGAAGGGGAGGGCUCAGCACAGCUGCCUCUGCGGGCAGGGACCUGAGUGGUUUUGGAUGUUGCCCUCUCGAGCGCCUCUGGUGUCUUCUUUCCCUGCUCUCCCAAUUCCUACAGCCCCUGGAUUGCCCCGCUCCCCACCCCCACAGGGGGACUCCCUCCACCCCAGGGGGGAUCUUCUCCUCAAGGCACCAUCCGCC